UGGCUCAGACGGUAAAGCAUCUGCCUGCAGUGCAGGAGACCCGGGUUCGAUCCCUGG
rnacentral:tRNA from 1 species